rnacentral:rRNA from 1 species
GGAUUAGGCAUGCAAGUCGCACGAGAAAGGCUUCUUCGGAAGCCGAGUAAAGUGGCGAGCGGGUGAGUAAUGCAUAGACAACUUGCCCUUGAGAUGGGGACAACGCCUCGAAAGGGGUGCUAAUACCCAAUGCCGCCUUGGGCCUGCGGGUCCAGGGUGAAAGGAGGCCUCUGAUUCAAGCUUCCGCUCAAGGAGAGGUUUAUGUCCUAUUAGCUAGUUGGCGGGGUAACGGCCCACCAAGGCUGCGAUGGGUAGCCGACCUGAGAGGGUGACCGGCCACAUUGGGACUGAGACACUGCCCAGACUCCUACGGGAGGCUGCAGUCGAGAAUCUUCCGCAAUGCGCGCAAGCGUGACGGAGCGACGCCGCGUGGGUGAUGAAGGCCUUCGGGUUGUAAAACCCUGUCAGCUACUACGAAACACGGGCGAUGAACAAUCGUCCCGUCUGACUUAAGUAGCAGAGGAAGCACCGGCUAACUACGUGCCAGCAGCCGCGGUAAUACGUAGGGUGCAAACGUUGUUCGGAAUCACUGGGCAUAAAGGGCGCGUAGGCGGUCUGAUAAGUCAGGUGUGAAAUCCCUCGGCCUAACCGAGGAACUGCAUUUGAUACUGUCGGGCUAGAGUACAGGAGGGGAGAGUGGAAUUCCUGGUGGAGCGGUGAAAUGCGUAGAUAUCAGGAGGAACGCCGGCGGCGAAAGCGACUCUCUGGCCUGUUACUGACGCUGAGGCGCGAAAGCUAGGGGAGCAAACGGGAUUAGAUACCCCGGUAGUCCUAGCCCUAAACGAUGGGCACUAAGUAGAGGGGUUUU